AGUUCGAUUCUGGCUCCAGAUUGAACGCUGGCGGGAUGCUUACAUGCAAGUCGAACGGCAGCACGGACUUCGGUCUGGUGGCGAGUGGCGAGCAGGUGAGUAAUGUAUCGGAACGUGCCUAGUAGCGGGGAUAACUACGCGGCGUAGCUAAUACCGCAUACGCCCUUCGAGGAAAGCGGGGGACCUUCCGGGCCUCGCACUAUUAGAGCGGCCGAUAUCGGAUUAGCUAGUUGGUGUAACGGCUCACCAAGGCGACGAUCCGUAGCUGGUUUGAGAAGGACGACCAGCCACACUGGGACUGAGACUUUGGCCAGACUCCUACGGGAGGUAGCAGUGGGGAAUUUUGGACAAUGGGGAAGCCCUGAUCCGCCAUCCGCGUCAAAUGCGAUGAAGGCCUUCGGGUUGUAAAGCACUUUUGGCAGGAAAGAAACGGCACGGGAUAAUACCCCGUGCAACUGACAGUACCUGCCAGAAUAAAGCACCGGCUAACUACGUGCCAGCAGCCGCGGUAAUACGUAGGGUGCAAGCGUUAAUCGGAAUUACUGGGCGUAAAGCGUGCGCAGGCGGUUCGGAAAGAAAGAUGUGAAAUCUGACUUAGCUUUGGAACUGCAUUUUUAACUACCGAGCUAGAAGGUGUGUCAGAGGGAGGUGGAAUUCCGCGUGUAGCGUUGAAAUGCGUGAAUAUGCGGAGGAACACCGAUGGCGAAGGCAGCCUCCUCAAGGAUGCUGCAUGACGCUCAUGCACGAAAGCGUGGGGAGCAAACAGGAUUAGAUACCCUGGUAGUCCACGCCCUAAACGAUGUCAACUGGCUGUUGGGCCUUCGGGCCUUGGUAGCGCAACUAACGCGUGAAGUUGACCGCCUGGGAAGUACGGUCGCAAGAUUAAAACUCAAAGGAAUUGACGGGGACCACUGCAAGCGGUGGAUGAUGUGGAUUAAUUCGAUGCAACGCGAAAAACCUUACCUACCCUUGACAUGUCUGGAAUCCCGAAGAGAUUUGGGAGUGCUGAAGAACCGGAACACAGGUGCUGCAUGGCUGUCGUCAGUUCGUGUCGUGAGAUGUUGGUUAAGUCCGCAACGAGCGCAACCCUUCGUCAUUGGUUAUUGAAAGGGCACUCUAAUGCGAGACUGCCGGUGACAAAACCGGAGGAAGGUGGGGAUGACGUCAAAGUCCUCAUGACCAUAUGGGUAGGGCUUCACACGUCAUACAAUGGUCGCGGGGACAGAGGGUCGCCAACCCGCGAGGGGGAGCCAAUCCGAAACCCGAUCCUGUAGUCCGGAUCGCAGUCCUGUCGACUGCGUGAAGUCGGAAUCGCUAGUAAUCGCGGAUCAGCAUGUCGCGGUGAUACGUUCCAGGUCUUCUCACCCACCGCCCGUCACCAUGGGAGUGGGUUUUACCAAGAAGUAGUUAGCCUAACCGUAAGGAGGGCGAUUACCACAUUAGGAUUCAUGACUGGGGUGAAGUCGUAACAAGGUAG
rnacentral:rRNA from 1 species